AGGUGCUUCAGUGUAGGGCACACAUCUGACAUGCAGGCUCAGCAGCAGGCGCCAUCUUUACGUGCAUUUCUACCAAACUCACUACAUCAGUUAUCUACUGAAUAUCUACUGAGUGCUUCCCCAGACUGCCCCAACACAGACAAGUAGGCAGGUGAGUCACCCAGUGGAAGGAAAUAGAGGGUCCCCUCCCUAUCUUAAGGCUGUGAGUACAGGAUCUUCGGUGGUACGGCGCAUUAAGCUGUGGUGUUUCUGUCCCACUGUCAACUGACGCGAAUGAUGAAUUUCUCUACCUGACAUCGUCGCGGAGGACAAAAACAAACCAGCCAGAGGAAGGACGGUGUAGCGGGCCGGCCAGAAGGGGCAACAACUGUUAGUUGUAGAGGGUGAUUCACAGAAACGGAGGAAUUCCUGUGUUGUUGGAACAUCGAGGUUUUGCCUCAUUGAUUACUUGAGGAAAAGUGGAAGGAAGCAAAGAGUCAUUCUGAGAAAACAUCUCCUCUCAUCCUCUCCCCUCGCCCUUUUCCUUUGCUUCUAAAGUUUGGUCUUACAGAAUGAUGGAUGAGCAGCUUGCACUGUGGCCUCCGAUGUCCUCUCGUCUUCCUCCCUCCUUAUCCUCCUCCUCUUCCUCCUUCAGACACACGCUGACUUCAAUGCACAGUGUUAGCCAAUGAUGGAUGGAGAGAUGGCAGUGUGGCAGUAAUAGAACAGCUCUGUUGCUCAUUGAUUUGUUUUCAUUUUCAUGUCUUUAUGUCUUUUGCACAUCUAAAUAUAGAUGUACAUAAUGAGACAAAUCUAAAUUUUCUCACAGAAGGCUUCUAGAAGUUUUAUUUUUAUAAGAGUCUAAUAAAAUAUUAUUAAUAUUUUCAGGGAUGUUGCAUAUAUUUGUUGCAAGUUUCUGUUUUACCUACAUCUGGUUAACACAGAGAGUACACAAAGUAUUAACUCUCAGUUCUGGUUUUAAAAAAUGUCAGACAAUGCAGGAGUGAUGGACAGCAGGCUGUUUAUGCAACAUUACAUAUUAUUAAUCAUCUUCACAUUUUCGGAAAGAGGGGGGGCUGUACAAAGAUGAGGAGGAGGAGAGGGGAUGAUGAGAAGGGGGAGGACGAAGAAAGAGGAGGAAGAGGAGGGGAGUGGAGGCAAAGGAGGAAGGUUAGAAAGCCACAAAUAACUACCAUCAAUCAUCAAGGAGUCAACAUUUUCACAUGUUAGGAUUGCCUCUUAUUGGCAGCAGCCAGAGAUCCGUUUGUGUGUGUGUGUGUGUGUGUGCGCGUGUGUGUAUGUGUGUGUGUUUGCUCUGUCUUGCCCAGCCUAGACUUCUCUCCCUAUCUCACUGUCUUCACCUUUCCUUAAACUGACGGCACGAACAACAACAGUUGAGAAAUCACCCUCGUCAGCAGGAAGCUGGCAGGUGCGUUAACUCCCCUAGUACCAAAUUAGGAUGUGCAAGAUUGCAGAAACGCCUCGGCUCUCAUAUCUCCCUUUUUAAUCACUAACAUUUAGACGAGUCUGGAUGGAAACGCACAUUAGGCUUUAGCCAAGGAUUUUCUUUGGAUGCCGAGCCAGGCCUCAGAUCGCACUCAGCCCUCCAAAAUCUAAGUGGGAUCUUUGCCUUCUAGCCUGAGAGAAAGAUCUUAGGUCAGGCUUCAACUUGGGUGUUGUAAAACUACUCAUUUAUUCAAAUGUUACUGCCCAAAAAGAAGUUGGGCUGUGUUAAAGUGCAUGUUAAAAAUUAUUCCAAUCUGACCUCUUAGGAUUAAAUACAGGGAAAAUGAGUUUAAAGGUUGUUCAUUCAGAUAUCUAAAAUGAUAUUGUGUGGGACAGUCACAGCUCUGCUCUUAGACGGUGGCGAUUUUUGUAGUUUUUCUUUUAUAAUUAAUUUUGUUCUUAGAUUUUAGAAAAUAAAUCUGUUAUUAGAAUAAUGCCAUCCUUAUGUUGCUGCACUUUGGCUCGCAGAAUUUUGAUGUUUGAUGGUCAUGAACACCGUCAUCAAAAACACAUUUUGUUGAGCUUGUGGAUUAUGGAAAAGCGACACUAGGGGGUGCUCUAGGUUUGUCAAGCCAACUGUUGAGGCUUCACGCUGCUUACAGUUGGAGCUGUACGUUCAGAGUGUGGGUGUGUAUGCAGAUGUGAAAGCACUGGCUGUCCAGUCGGAGUCACACCACAUCCUUCCACAAGACAUAUUUAUGAUUAACCCUGUGUCCCUGUUUAUGUCCGCGAGCUGUCAGAGGUUAAGCUUCUAAGUUACAAAUUAUUGUGUGAGAAAAGAGUUAAUAGAUGACGGCUUUUCCAGGAGUUGGUCCGCAGCUUCAUAUUUAGUUACCUAAUACCACUGAAUAUGAAUAAAAACUUGCUGAGUGGACAAAGAGUGAGUGCUCUAAUUGGGUAUUUGAAAGAUAUACUGUUAGUCUUGUUUAUGCAUUUUCCGAAUUGGAAGGACUCGCUAAUUCUGUCCUUAAUUAUGUACUUUUUGCCCUUUCUUUAUUUUUGUGCACAUACACUCACGCACUAAUUCACGAGGUUUGAGAUGUGUCUUCUCAGUUUCAGUACAGUAAAGUACUAAAACAAGUAAGUGUGUGUGUGUGC